GACGAACGCUGGCGGCGUGCUUAACACAUGCAAGUCGAGCGGAGCGGCGAACGGGUGAGUAACGCGUGAGUAACUGCCCCCCUCUCUGGGAUAACCGUUGGAAACGGCUGCUAAUACCGGCUAGUGGGGGAUGCCUCGCGUCCUAUCAGCUUGUUGGUGGGGUGGUGGCCUACCAAGGCGACGACGGGUCGCCGGCCUGAGGGGGCGACCGGCCACAUUGGAGUGGGAUACGGCCCGAACGCCUGCGGGAGGCAGCAUUGGGGGAUAGUGGACGAUGGGCGAAAGCCUGAUGCGGCGACGCGCGUGGAGGAUGAAGGCUUUCGGGUUGUGCCCGUCUAUCGAGCAAGGCUGGGGAGGUGGAGAAGAAGCGCCGGCUAACUACGUGCCAGCAGCCGCGGUAAUUC
rnacentral:rRNA from 1 species